rnacentral:rRNA from 1 species
GACGAACGCUGGCGGCGUGCCUAACACAUGCAAGUCGAACGGAGUCGGCCCCGCAAGGGACUGACUUAGUGGCGAACGGGUGAGUAACGCGUGAGCAACCUGCCUUUCAGUGGGGGACAACAGUUGGAAACGACUGCUAAUACCGCAUAAUGCAUUUUGACCGCAUGAUCGAGAUGCCAAAGAUUUAUUGCUGAAAGAUGGGCUCGCGUCUGAUUAGAUAGUUGGUGAGGUAACGGCCCACCAAGUCGACGAUCAGUAGCCGGACUGAGAGGUUGAACGGCCACAUUGGGACUGAGAUACGGCCCAGACUCCUACGGGAGGCAGCAGUGGGGAAUAUUGGGCAAUGGGGGAAACCCUGACCCAGCAACGCCGCGUGAAGGAAGAAGGCUUUCGGGGUGUAAACUUCUUUUACCAGGGACGAAGAAAGUGACGGUACCUGGAGAAAAAGCCACGGCUAACUACGUG